rnacentral:tRNA from 1 species
GCUGGGUUGGCGGAACGGUUACGCACCCGCCUGCAGAGCGGGUCAAUGGGGUUCGACUCCCUGGCCCAGCU